rnacentral:misc_RNA from 1 species
AAUGUUCUGCUCUCAGUAGAUUUUCGACCGCGCUGCGAUGCAGACAUCGGCCUCUGGAAGCUAAAAAGCAACAAGGGAGAUACUUUGACUCGGAGUGUGACCGUUGACGCCGGAACGUUCGCGGGGUUCAGUCAGAGUCAACCCAGUGUGUGAUAGGGAAGCCAGUUGUGUGGUGAUAAUAGAAGGGACCUCCUCCUUCAACAAGUGUGACUGGGUUCAACAGAAGAAGAGGAAGAAGAAGAAACAGAAGAAGUGUUUGUGAUUUUCUUUUUUGAUAAUUGCUGCUGGCUAAUGCUCAGUGCAGCUGAUAGUGUGACGAAGGAGCGUUAGGAAGAGAAGCACUGUGAACACACAGAGCCACCGUUGUGGCGAUAGUUGAUAAGGAUUGGUGUAACGAGUCUCGGCGACACUUCUUAGUGGGGGAAAAUUUAACGGAAAAUCUCGACAUUUGGGAAGGAUCACUAGCCCCGUGUUCUCCUGAGGGUACUAGAGGUACUUAUCAGUAGCAGAAGCAGCAGGUUCUCUCUCUCUCUGUUCCUGAUAGACCUGAUGACCAUGUGUAUGUGUCCAUAACACGCCGUCCUGUGAGUGUUUAUUUUGGCGCCAGCUGACCGCCACUGAUAGACGAAUUCGAGCAUCGCCGAGGGAUUGACCUUAGCCUACUAACCAUCGGCGAGGACAAGGAUUCCGAAUCGUGCGCUCGCGGUUAACCCCACCCCCCUGAGCCAUGGGACCAUCCCUCCGUGCUUUGAAGCGGUUGUUUCGUUGAGAUUAGACUGCCGAGGAAGUGACACUACAAGAAAGGAAAAAGAAGCAAGAAUUCGUGUUAAACAGAGUGAAUAAAACCCAGCAAAUCAACUUAUCAACUCAAAGUCCGAUUGUGUGUUGGGAGUGUUUUGUGUUACGUAGGCCAUUGCGGGUAGGAAGAAAUGGCCACCCUACUGUACACGAUCAUCGGCAUGACGGCCAGUGCGUCGCUCAACUGUGCCGUCCGGCGGGAGAUCUCGCCGUGUACCUGUUCGCCGCACGGCUUCUUCGCCAACACGAUCGAAGUCAAGUGCGAACAGAUGGAGUCCUUCCACCAGGUGGUGGACGCACUGCAGGACCGCUUCACCCCGGACUACAACAUUUGGCUGACGAUUUCGCACUCGCAGCUGCUGGACCUGGCCUCGCAAUCCUUCUACGAGAUGAACAUGAACAUUAAGACGCUCAAGAUGAACUAUGAUAAUUUGAGUCAACUACCGGUGGACACGUUCCAGAAUUUACCAAGGUUAGAGUACUUUAGUGCGUCGGAGAACCGGCUAGAGGAGAUUCCGGCGGACAUGUUCCAGCACAUGCCGAACGUUGGGACGCUGGAUUUUGCUAAAGGGAAUCUACGGUUUAUCAACGGGAACACGUUCAAGUCAUUGCAAAACCUGCGGCACUUGAUUGUGGCAUCGAAUCUACUGCAGCGGAUCGAUGCCGAUACGAUGCCUCGAACGUUAAUCUCGCUGCACUACGGCCACAACAAUCUGACCACGCUGAACGGAACUCUGCGACACCUAGACGAGUUGAAGUUACUGUUUGCCAACGACAACCAUCUGACCUCGCUGGACGACGAACUUCCGCUGGCCUCCCCAAACUUGAUGACCAUCUUCGCCCAAAAUAACCAGAUCGAUCAUCUGCCCAUGGAGAUCAAGUAUCUGAAAAAUUUGGACUCGCUGUUUCUCCACGGCAACCGGUUGAAGUCUUUCGAUGGACUGUUGGCACGAUCGUCUCAGCUCACCAAACUGGUCGCGUUUGACAACGAGAUUAACCAUCUGCGCAGGGACGAAUUCAUCGAAGCUGAGCGGUUGGAGGACCUGCAACUGGCCGAGAACAAACUGACCAACCUGAACGGUUCUCUGCAAAACAUGAAGGGACUAAUCAUUGCCAACUUUAGCUACAAUCUGCUGAACGAAUUUUCGUUGCAAGAAGUGACCGGUCUGCGGAAGCUACGAAUUCUGGACCUGUCGCACAAUAAGAUCGAAAAGCUAACCGGUCGAAUGGAGAACCUCGUGGAUUCCGGUUCGAUCAUCUACGAGUUGCGACUGCAGCAUAACUUGCUCAAAUCACUAGACGGAACGCUGAUGGGACUGAACAACUUGAAAAUCUUAAACGUUGCCCACAACAUGCUCGAAACGAUCACGCCUGACGAUCUUAUCGGGAUGGAGAACCUGGAACAUUUGGAUCUAUCGUUCAACAAGCUGAACACGCUAGAGGAGUUGUCCAAGACAUUCCUGCCAUCGCUUCAGUCGGUGAACGCGUCCUACAACCUGCUCACCACGAUGGACAAGGACUUCCACGGUCUACCGGUGCUGUGCACGGCCGAUCUUUCCAACAACAUGAUUCGAGUGCUUUCGGUUGAUCUUGUUUCGCAAACCCGGUGCAGCAACCAUGGAGUUCCGAACAAGUUGGAGAUUUUCCUCCAAGAGAAUCCCGUUCUAUGUGACGAAUCCCUGCCGGAACUGGUCUCCCAAAUGGAGUCUUUCCACACACGACUGAUCGGAAUUGCGCACUGCAUCGUGCCCCAGCAGAUUCCCAUCGAUUCACCCAUCUUUAUGCAGCCGCCGAUUCCGCUGUUGAAGCCGCUGCUGCAACCGCAAAUUCCGAUGGUCCCAGCACCGGUAAUGAUUCAGCAACCCUCGAUCGUACAGAUCUUAGUACCGGCCCCGAUGAUGGUUCAACCACCGGCAUUUGCCGAUGCCGCUGCAGGAAUGCUUCAACCAAUUCCCUCCGUCCAAGGCAUCCAGGAUUUGCAGCAACCACCCGUUGCUUCACCACCGCAAAUUGCUCAUAUUCCACAGCAACAGCCGUACGAUGAGCUCAAGUACGACGCCCAACCGGAACCGGCGGCCGAGUCUGAAACCUUGGCACCACCCCCGGAGGAGAAUGACAUCGCAAAGAUCAUCACACCGACCACCACAACCAUGAAAACGAUCCUCGAGUUCAAGAACAUUAUCCACGACACGUACUCGGCGAUACCACCGGAAGUACUCCCCAUGCCACUGGACAAAGCCCAGGGACUUGCUACCGAACCCGAAGAACCACCGGAAACGCAACAAGAUCAAAGCGUGGACGACAAUGACGAAGUAGAACAUUGAACAGACAGAUAGGGCGGAUCACACAAGAGUCUCCCCUAUGUGAUAAGAUACACUUUUUUCGAGUUUGAUUGCAGAAUGCAAACACGUUAAGAAGGAAAAUUCCACGCUUUAGACUAUUCUGAGAGUAGGUGAAGAGCAUUGUUUAAAAUAAAACGACUGUCCGGUCAGUCCCCGAUUCUAACACCACCCAGUAGACACAAACUAUUGAUACUAAGAAAAGGACACCGUUAUAGUGAUACAUGCAUCUGUCUGAUAACCCCACCACUGAAAAUCAACCAAACUCUCUUCAUCUGUUUGAAGCUAGUUGUUUUACUUGUUAUCUCUCUAAAAUAUAAGUGGUUCGAGAAUCAAUGUUAGACAGACCUGCGUCUCGAAAUUUCGAACAAUUAUGGUCCAAGAUUUGACCAUGGACACACGUGAUUAGCGUACAUACAAAACAAAUGCACAAAACACUGUUUUUUAUAUAUAAUAAUAUUAGGAAACAUUCUUGUUAACAGAAGAAUUUAAUAGACUAGACUUAUCAUGCAUAUAUGUGCCAUCUUAACUGUUAAGUACCACUUGUCAAACUUGUCCUCUAUCACACCUUCACCCAAAAGUAAUCCAACAUUCUUCCACGUUAUUUCCUUAACUUUGUAUUUAUUCAUAACAGUCACAUAAUGGAUAUUUUUGUAGAUUGAUAAUGACCAGAAGCACUUUCAAUGUACUCUAAAACAAACUUUUACAACAGAAAAAUGAAAUUCACACCCACGUAGCACAUAAAGUAUUUUACAGCACACGAUACAGAGGAAACAACCGAAACAGCAGUGAAACAGUGUGUUAGAAUGACAAAAAAAAACUGCAACAACAACAAAAUUAAUAGUCAUUAUAAAGCUGAGCCUAAAUCACGGCGUAUGUCGGAGUGUUACAAUGUAAAAAGUACUUCAAAUUUGUUCGAUAAGCACUACCUUUGCUAUGCAUGCUUGCGGUCGAUGGUCAGCAAACUCUAAAUAAUAAAUGCACGAAUAUUGUACAAUGUAAUUGAAAAUACUAUUCGCAAAUAAACUAAUACACAAACCACACACAAAAAAA